rnacentral:rRNA from 1 species
GAUGAACGCUGGCGGCGUGCCUAACACAUGCAAGUCGAGCGGACUGGAAGGGUGCUUGCACCCUGAUAGUUAGCGGCGGACGGGUGAGUAACGCGUGGGCAACCUGCCCUGUGCAGGGGGAUAACACAUCGAAAGGUGUGCUAAUACCCCAUAAGACUAAGUUAUCACAUGAUGAAGUAGUCAAAGAUUUAUCGGCACAGGAUGGGCCCGCGUCUGAUUAGCUAGUUGGUAAGGUAACGGCUUACCAAGGCGACGAUCAGUAGCCGACCUGAGAGGGUGAUCGGCCACACUGGAACUGAGACACGGUCCAGACUCCUACGGGAGGCAGCAGUGGGGAAUAUUGCACAAUGGGGGAAACCCUGAUGCAGCAACGCCGCGUGAGCGAAGAAGGCCUUCGGGUCGUAAAGCUCUGUCCUAAGGGAAGAAUAAUGACGGUACCUUAGGAGGAAGCCCCGGCUAACUACGUGCCAGCAGCCGCAGUAACAC